rnacentral:tRNA from 4 species
GGAGAGAUGGCAGAGCGGUUGAAUGCACUGGUCUUGAAAACCAGCAAGCCUUAAUAGGGCUUCCAGGGUUCGAAUCCCUGUCUCUCCGCCA